rnacentral:rRNA from 1 species
UUGACCUUCGGGUAUGAAGUUAGAGUGAAGCGAGCGGCGGAUGGGUGAGUGAACAGCGUGGUGUAACCUACCCAUAUAAGUACUAGGGUAGUAGCCACUUGGAAACGGGUGGCUAAUACCGGAUAAAAGGAGAGAUCACAUGAUUUCUUUUUGAAAGGCGGCGUAAGCUGUCGCUAAAGGAUGGACCCGCGGUGCAUUAGCUAGUUGGUAAGGUAACGGCUUACCAAGGCAACGAUGCAUAGCCGAGUUGAGAGACUGAUCGGCCACAUUGGGACUGAGACACGGCCCAAACUCCUACGGGAGGCAGCAGUAGGGAAUCUUCCACAAUGGACGCAAGUCUGAUGGAGCAACGCCGCGUGAGUGAAGAAGGUUUUCGGAUCGUAAAGCUCUGUUGUUGGUGAAGAAAGAUAGUGAGAGUAACUGCUCAUUAUUUGCCGGUAAUCAACCAGAAAGUCACGGCUAACUACGUGCCAGCAGCCGCGGUAAUACGUAGGUGGCAAGCGUUGUCCGGAUUUAUUGGGCGUAAAGCGAGCGCAGGCGGAAAGAUAAGUCAGAUGUGAAAGCCCUCGGCUUAACCGAGGAAUAGCAUCGGAAACUGUCUUUCUUGAGUGCAGAAGAGGAGAGUGGAACUCCAUGUGUCAGCCGGUGGGAAUGCGUAGCAUAUCAUGGAAGAACACCAGUUGGCGAAGCGCGGGCUCUCUGGUCUGUAACUUGACGGCUGAGGCUCGAAAGCAUGGGUAGACGACCAGGAUUAGAUACCCUG